rnacentral:misc_RNA from 1 species
GGAAGUAUAAGUCGUAACAAGGUUUCCGUAGGUGAACCUGCGGAAGGAUCAUUCAUAAUAAAGUGUUUUAUGGCACUUUUUAAAAAUCCAUAUCCACCUUGUGUGCAAUGUUAGAUCUCGUCAAUCUUGGCGAGAUUUUUAUACAUCAACUCAUUCUUUAACUAAUUUGUCUGAAAAAUAUUAUGAAUACUUAAUUCAAAAUACAACUUUCAACAACGGAUCUCUUGGCUCUC